AUGAACGCUGGCGGCGUGCCUAAUACAUGCAAGUCGAGCGAACAGACGAGGAGCUUGCUCCUCUGACGUUAGCGGCGGACGGGUGUAACACGUGGAUAACCUACCUAUAAGACUGGGAUAACUUCGGGAAACCGGAGCUAAUACCGGAUAAUAUAUUGAACCGCAUGGUUCAAUAGUGAAAGACGGUUUUGCUGUCACUUAUAGAUGGAUCCGCGCCGCAUUAGCUAGUUGGUAAGGUAACGGCUUACCAAGGCAACGAUGCGUAGCCGACCUGAGAGGGUGAUCGGCCACACUGGAACUGAGACACGGUCCAGACUCCUACGGGAGGCAGCAGUAGGGAAUCUUCCGCAAUGGGCGAAAGCCUGACGGAGCAACGCCGCGUGAGUGAUGAAGGUCUUCGGAUCGUAAAACUCUGUUAUUAGGGAAGAACAAAUGUGUAAGUAACUAUGCACGUCUUGACGGUACCUAAUCAGAAAGCCACGGCUAACUACGUG
rnacentral:rRNA from 1 species